rnacentral:rRNA from 1 species
CCCAGCGCCGAAUCCCGCGGUCGAUAUCGCCGCCGGGAAAUGUGGUGUUAGGGAGGGUCCAUUAUCCCGAGAUCAUGCGGCGCGUCCAAGUCCUUCUUGAACGGGGCCACAGCCCAUAGAGGGUGCCAGGCCCGUAGCGACCGCUGCUGAUCGCGGGAGGAUCUCUCCUCAGAGUCGGGUUGCUUGAGAGUGCAGCCCUAAGUGGGUGGUAAACUCCAUCUAAGGCUAAAUAUGACCACGAGACCGAUAGCGAACAAGUACCGUGAGGGAAAGUUGAAAAGCACUUUGAAGAGAGAGUUCAAGAGUACGUGAAACCGUUUAGGGGUAAACCUGAGAAACCCGAAAGGUCGAAGGGAGAAAUUCACCGCGUUUCGGUGUUGGCGUGAGACGGUCGUGUGACGGAGAGGGUUUGUUUACCCAAUCCGCGCCUUCCGUUUUUCGAUCCGAUGUCGAACGCGUGCACUUUUCUUCUGGUAGGACGUCGCGAUCCGUUGGGUGUCGAUCUACGGCCCGAGGUGGAGCCCGCGCGGUUUAUCCGCUCGGACCCUCGGUGUCCUGGCCGACUCGCUUGACGGUAUAACACGAACGGUCGAGGGCCGCUUAUAAAGCGUUCGGCUCGUUGCAAGCGCGCCGGAAGUGUCGAAUACCGGACCUCGUGCCGAUACCGACCUCCGGUGGCUGUUGGCGACGAAGUUCUCGGACAGACCCUCAUGACCGAUCUGCGACGCUAUAGCUUUGGGUACUUUCAGGACCCGUCUUGAAACACGGACCAAGGAGUCUAGCAUGUGCGCGAGUCAUUGGGAAUCACUAAACCUAAAGGCGUAAUGAAAGUAAAGGUUCGUCUUGCACGAACCGAGGGAAGAUGGGGCGGUUUGCCAUUAAAAGCGGCCGCUCCGCACUCCCGGGGCGUCUCGUUCUCAUUGCGAGAAGAGGCGCACCAAGAGCGUACACGCUGGACCCGAAAGAUGGUGAACUAUGCCUGGUC